GACGAACGCUGGCGGCGUGCCUAAUACAUGCAAGUAGAACGCUGAAGGAGGAGCUUGCUUCUCCGGACGAGUUGCGAACGGGUGAGUAACGCGUAGGUAACCUGCCUGGUAGCGGGGGAUAACUAUUGGAAACGAUAGCUAAUACCGCAUAAGAGUAGAUGUUGCAUGACAUUUGCUUAAAAGGUGCAAUUGCAUCACUACCAGAUGGACCUGCGUUGUAUUAGCUAGUUGGUGGGGUAACGGCUCACCAAGGCGACGAUACAUAGCCGACCUGAGAGGGUGAUCGGCCACAUCUGGGACUGAGACACGGCCCAGACUCCUACGGGAGGCAGCAGUAGGGAAUCUUCGGCAAUGGACGGAAGUCUGACCGAUGCAACGCCGC
rnacentral:rRNA from 1 species